AAAUAUUAUUCAGAAUUGUUAUCUUAGUAUGCUCCACAUAAAUGUAGUGGGGAGCAUACCAUGGUAAGAUAAGUUCUCUUUUAAAGCUAGGGGAGAUCGGGACUAGAAGUCACACGGUGUACGUUGCUCCUAUCCUGUUAGUCGGGUGUACAAAAAUAGCUCGUUUCAAAAACAUCGCAUGUGAUAUUUACGAGCACUUUUUAAAAAUUGGAGGUCUAAAAUGAAGCCGAUUGCUGAAACGAUAUUUUGGAUAAGCUUUUUAUACAUCGCGGCACCAGUAAAAACUGCAAGGAUC